rnacentral:rRNA from 1 species
UACGUAGGGUGCGAGCGUUGUCCGGAAUUACUGGGCGUAAAGAGCUCGUAGGUGGUUUGUCGCGUUGUUCGUGAAAACUCACAACUCAAUUGUGGGCGUGCGGGCGAUACGGGCAGACUGGAGUACUGCAGGGGAGACUGGAAUUCCUGGUGUAGCGGUGGAAUGCGCAGAUAUCAGGAGGAACACCGGUGGCGAAGGCGGGUCUCUGGGCAGUAACUGACGCUGAGGAGCGAGAGCAUGGGGAGCGAACAGG